rnacentral:rRNA from 1 species
ACGAACGCUGGCGGCGUGCCUAAUACAUGCAAGUCGAGCGGAACUUAGAAAGCUUGCUUUCUAAGUUUAGCGGCGGACGGGUGAGUAACACGUGGGCAACCUGCCUAUAAGACUGGGAUAACUUCGGGAAACCGGAGCUAAUACCGGAUAAUAUAAAAGAUCACAUGGUCUUUUAUUGAAAGAUGGCUUCGGCUAUCACUUAUAGAUGGGCCCGCGGCGCAUUAGCUAGUUGGUGAGGUAAUGGCUCACCAAGGCGACGAUGCGUAGCCGACCUGAGAGGGUGAUCGGCCACACUGGGACUGAGACACGGCCCAGACUCCUACGGGAGGCAGCAGUAGGGAAUCUUCCGCAAUGGACGAAAGUCUGACGGAGCAACGCCGCGUGAGCGAUGAAGGCCUUCGGGUCGUAAAGCUCUGUUGUUAGGGAAGAACAAGUAUCGUUCGAAUAGGGCGGUACCUUGACGGUACCUAACCAGAAAGCCACGGCUAACUGCGUG